rnacentral:rRNA from 1 species
UACAGAGGGUGCGAGCGUUAAUCGGAAUUACUGGGCGUAAAGCGCACGUAGGUGGCUUUGCAAGUCGGAUGUGAAAUCCCCGGGCUUAACCUGGGAACUGCAUUCGAGACUGCUCUGCUAGAGUAUGGGAGAGGGAAGUGGAAUUUCCGGUGUAGCGGUGAAAUGCGUAGAUAUCGGAAGGAACAUCAGUGGCGAAGGCGACUCCCUGGACCAAUACUGACACUCAAGUGCGAAAGCGUGGGGAGCAAACAGG